CACGUAGGGCGCAAGCGUUGUCCGGAAUUAUUGGGCGUAAAGAGCUCGUAGGCGGACUGUCACGUCUGCUGUGAAAAGCUGGGGCUUAACCCUGGCCUGCAGUGGAUACGGGCAGACUAGAGUGCGGUAGGGGAGACUGGAAUUCCUGGUGUAGCGGUGGAAUGCGCAGAUAUCAGGAGGAACACCGAUGGCGAAGGCGGGUCUCUGGGCCGAUACUGACGCUGAGGAGCGAAAGCGUGGGGAGCGAACAGG
rnacentral:rRNA from 1 species